CCAAGUUCCCCGAGCUAUCAGCCUUUAAACCGCGUCUCCGUCCUCUGUCUCCGUCCAGGCUCACGUCACAGGGGGCAUGUCCGGCCCCCACCACUCUGCAGCUCACGGCCUGCCCCCCGUCAUGCUGCACUACGUCUCCCCCCAGCAGGGCGGGGGCUCCAACCCCCAACAUGGCCCCCAGCAGGGGGCGCCGCAGCACUUUUACAUUGGACACCCACCAGCCCUGCAGGUGCAGCCUCAUCCCAGCCAGCAGCUCUCCUUCCACCCCUCUCCGCUAACUGAGGCCCGUGACCCCCCCUCCGCUAACUGAGGCCCGUGACCCCCCCUCUAAGGAAACUAAACCUCCUCAUUGCUCCCGAGCUGAGAGGCCUUCUGCAUUUUAAGUGUAAAUAGACUGAACUCAGUGGACCCCCCCCCCCCCCCCUACAGACAAAACCAGUUCAUUAAUAAUAAAACCACUGAAAAAACGUCUUAUGGUUGAUUUGGAGAUGCAUACACAUGACAUCUAAUGUAAAAGACAAAGUAUACUCGUAUAUAUCAUUUGUAAAAGUGUCAAAAAUAACUAUGAAAAGUAAAACAUGUCAGAAAAAGUAUAUUGCUCAUAUAAAUGUGACAGAUCAAAACAUUAUCUUAAAAUAACCUCCAAUAGUUUAUCAGUCAUUUCUAUUACUAAAUAUGUCUUGAGAAAGAAAGUGUAUUGUUGUUAAAGGAGAAUUUACAAAUAAGGAAUAAAAGUUUUGUGAUGUUUAAUUUCCCCAAAAAAACGCAUUAGAACAUCUUGACAUAAAUACACCGUAAAAAGAAAAAAUAAUGUGAAUUAUUCUCAGGAGAUGUCAGUGAAAAUUAAAGUAAGGCAAAAAAAAUAAUGUUAGACAGGAAACCAAUGAGAAAAUAAUUGUAUAAAAAAAGCACAAAAGUUAAAUUGGGAGACUGAAGACGCUGAAGUGUCCCCAAUUUAUUCCUCAGAAGAAGAAGAAAAGAAAGAUGGCCGCUGCGCUGCGUCAGUCAGCUGGACGCCGCCCGGCACGUUGACAUAGUUUUCUUCUUCACUAUCAUCAUCGUCAUCUUCUUCAACUUCAUGAAAGAGGAGGAAGAGGAGACAAAAAUAAUUUCAACAACUGAAGAACAAUAAAUUGAAAAUAAAACUCCAGAAUUAUAAAAAAUAAACUAAACAGACAGAAUGCUCCUUUAAUAACUGACGUUUCUUCUCCGGAACGUUUUCAUAAUCAUGUUGAACAUCUGAGGAUGAGAAUCAGAAAUAACAGUCAGAUAUAUUAAACAAUAAGAUAAAACAUGCAGUUAAUUAGAGACAAACACAGUGGUUCUCAAACGAAGCGGUCCGUGCUGAAUUGUUAUUGAAAUAACGACAUGUUCUGACUGCAUGUGUGAUUUUAUUAAUAACAGAAUGAAGAAAAUGUAAGAAGACCGUGGUUUAAAAAAGGCAGUUUAACACAAACAGUGUUUGUUUUUUUAAACCCUCCAGCUGUUUUCAGUCUUUCUCUUUUUUAUCUUAAUUCAAAUAAAACGAACACGUCUCAGAGAAGUCUGACUAAGUUUAACUACGUUUAACUCUAAUCUAAAACUUGUCAGAGCUCUCUGAGUUAAAGAGAAGAAGCAAGUGGACGUAACUAGACGGCUGUGAUGUUCUACAUGCGGUUCCAUCCGUGUUCCGUCUCAGCGGCUCCUGAACUACUAAAGAAUAAUCUCCCCAUGUGGGAUUAAUCAAGCAUUAUAAAUAAAAUAAUACAUUUAACAUUAAAUGUCUAAAAUCUACAUUUUCCACAGCCCCUCACGCCCCAUUUGUAAUUCCUCCGUGCCCCACCAGAGGGUCGCGCCCCACAGUUUGAGAACCACUGCUUUAACAGAUUUUAAAGAUCUGAAUCCUAAAAGCAGCGGAAGAAGCGGGAAUCGGUGUUUGGGUUUUCCGAAGUGUACCUGAACUCGGCGUGGAGGCUCUGCUGUUGGUGGUCCCAGCGGUCGGCUCUUCAGGUAACACCAUUCUGCAGAAACCAGAGAAGAAGAGAGACCGUGAGGUGGGAAGGACCUUAUAACAGCAAAGGCUCAUGGGAAAAAGGAAAGAGGAAACCUACAUGUAGCCGGGAUCCUCAGCGUCGCUCUCAGCGUUAAUGUAGUCAGGACCUGUAGGGCACAUCACCAUCUUCAUCACCAUCUUCAUCACCACCCACACGUCUUCAUCACCAUCUUCAUCAUCACCCACACGUCUUCAUCACCCACACGUCUUCAUCACCAUCAUCACCCACACGUCUUCAUCACCAUCACCAUCAUCACCCACACGUCUUCAUCACCAUCUUCAUCACCAUCUUCAUCAUCACCCACACGUCUUCAUCACCAUCUUCAUCACCAUCUUCAUCAUCACCCACACGUCUUCAUCACCAUCAUCACCCACACGUCUUCAUCACCAUCAUCGUCCACACGUCUUCAUCACCAUCUUCAUCAUCACCCACACGUCUUCAUCUUCAUCAUCACCCUUUUACUGUUGUCAUUUAGUUAAAUCAGAUAAAUCUGAACCAUGUGAUCUUACCGUCUGCUGGAUUCUCAUAACUCGGAUUACUUUCUGUAAAAAUUAAAAUACAACAGUAAAGGUACAUUUACCUGUUAAAUAAAGACGAAUCCCAUGAAAACUUAUUAAUCAUAAGUUAUCA
ensembl:lncRNA